rnacentral:rRNA from 2 species
GACGAACCGUGCGAACGUUGUUCGGAAUCACUGGGCUUAAAGGGCGCGUAGGCGGGCCGAAAAGUCAGGGGUGAAAUCCUCCAGCUUAACUGGAGAACUGCCUUUGAUACUGGCGGUCUGGAGUAAGGUAGGGGCAUGCGGAACUGAUGGUGGAGCGGUGAAAUGUGUUGAUAUCAUCAGGAACUCCGGUGGCGAAAGCGGCGUGCUGGACCUUUACUGACGCUGAGGCGCGAAAGCCAGGGGAGCAAACGGG